CCCCUUUCGGGUUCACACCUGGAGAGUUUCUAGUACUCUACCAACCUUGGCUACAGGGGGGAGGGUCAAGCAGAGAGCCCACCCAUUCCAUUCCUAGCUUGGCCAGCAGCUAGCAAGUGGAAGGCAAUCUGCUACAAGU
rnacentral:snoRNA from 1 species